rnacentral:rRNA from 1 species
UGCUAUCCGUAAGGAGCACUCUGAUGGGACUGCCUGGGAAACCAGGAGGAAGGUGGGGAUGACGUCAAGUCAUCAUGGCCUUUAUGUCCAGGGCUACACACGUGUUACAAUGGCUAAAAACAAAGGGUUGCCAACCCGCAAGGGGGAGCUAAUCCCAGAAAGUUAGUCUAAGUUCGGAUUGGGGUCUGCAACUCGACCCCAUGAAGUUGAAAUCGCUAGUAAUCGCGUAUCAGCAACGGCGCGGUGAAUACGUUCUCGGACCUUGUACACACCGCCCGUCACGCCAUGAAAGCUGUUUGUACCCGAUACCACCUUAGCUAACCUGUUAAAGGAGGCGGGUGUUUAAGGUAUGAAGAGUGAUUGGGGCG